rnacentral:rRNA from 1 species
GGGUUGUGAGGUUAAGCGACUAAGCGUACACGGUGGAUGCCCUGGCAGUCAGAGGCGAUGAAGGACGUGCUAAUCUGCGAUAAGCGUCGGUAAGGUGAUAUGAACCGUUAUAACCGGCGAUUUCCGAAUGGGGAAACCCAGUGUGUUUCGACACACUAUCAUUAACUGAAUCCAUAGGUUAAUGAGGCGAACCGGGGGAACUGAAACAUCUAAGUACCCCGAGGAAAAGAAAUCAACCGAGAUUCCCCCAGUAGCGGCGAGCGAACGGGGAGGAGCCCAGAGCCUGAAUCAGUGUGUGUGUUAGUGGAAGCGUCUGGAAAGGCGCGCGAUACAGGGUGACAGCCCCGUACACAAAAAUGCACAUGCUGUGAGCUCGAUGAGUAGGGCGGGACACGUGGUAUCCUGUCUGAAUAUGGGGGGACCAUCCUCCAAGGCUAAAUACUCCUGACUGACCGAUAGUGAACCAGUACCGUGAGGGAAAGGCGAAAAGAACCCCGGCGAGGGGAGUGAAAAAGAACCUGAAACCGUGUACGUACAAGCAGUGGGAGCCUCUUUUAUGGGGUGACUGCGUACCUUUUGUAUAAUGGGUCAGCGACUUAUAUUCUGUAGCAAGGUUAACCGAAUAGGGGAGCCGAAGGGAAACCGAGUCUUAACUGGGCGUUAAGUUGCAGGGUAUAGACCCGAAACCCGGUGAUCUAGCCAUGGGCAGGUUGAAGGUUGGGUAACACUAACUGGAGGACCGAACCGACUAAUGUUGAAAAAUUAGCGGAUGACUUGUGGCUGGGGGUGAAAGGCCAAUCAAACCGGGAGAUAGCUGGUUCUCCCCGAAAGCUAUUUAGGUAGCGCCUCGUGAAUUCAUCUCCGGGGGUAGAGCACUGUUUCGGCAAGGGGGUCAUCCCGACUUACCAACCCGAUGCAAACUGCGAAUACCGGAGAAUGUUAUCACGGGAGACACACGGCGGGUGCUAACGUCCGUCGUGAAGAGGGAAACAACCCAGACCGCCAGCUAAGGUCCCAAAGUCAUGGUUAAGUGGGAAACGAUGUGGGAAGGCCCAGACAGCCAGGAUGUUGGCUUAGAAGCAGCCAUCAUUUAAAGAAAGCGUAAUAGCUCACUGGUCGAGUCGGCCUGCGCGGAAGAUGUAACGGGGCUAAACCAUGCACCGAAGCUGCGGCAGCGACACUGUGUGUUGUUGGGUAGGGGAGCGUUCUGUAAGCCUGUGAAGGUGUACUGUGAGGUAUGCUGGAGGUAUCAGAAGUGCGAAUGCUGACAUAAGUAACGAUAAAGCGGGUGAAAAGCCCGCUCGCCGGAAGACCAAGGGUUCCUGUCCAACGUUAAUCGGGGCAGGGUGAGUCGACCCCUAAGGCGAGGCCGAAAGGCGUAGUCGAUGGGAAACAGGUUAAUAUUCCUGUACUUGGUGUUACUGCGAAGGGGGGACGGAGAAGGCUAUGUUGGCCGGGCGACGGUUGUCCCGGUUUAAGCGUGUAGGCUGGUUUUCCAGGCAAAUCCGGAAAAUCAAGGCUGAGGCGUGAUGACGAGGCACUACGGUGCUGAAGCAACAAAUGCCCUGCUUCCAGGAAAAGCCUCUAAGCAUCAGGUAACAUCAAAUCGUACCCCAAACCGACACAGGUGGUCAGGUAGAGAAUACCAAGGCGCUUGAGAGAACUCGGGUGAAGGAACUAGGCAAAAUGGUGCCGUAACUUCGGGAGAAGGCACGCUGAUAUGUAGGUGAAGUCCCUCGCGGAUGGAGCUGAAAUCAGUCGAAGAUACCAGCUGGCUGCAACUGUUUAUUAAAAACACAGCACUGUGCAAACACGAAAGUGGACGUAUACGGUGUGACGCCUGCCCGGUGCCGGAAGGUUAAUUGAUGGGGUCAGCGCAAGCGAAGCUCUUGAUCGAAGCCCCGGUAAACGGCGGCCGUAACUAUAACGGUCCUAAGGUAGCGAAAUUCCUUGUCGGGUAAGUUCCGACCUGCACGAAUGGCGUAAUGAUGGCCAGGCUGUCUCCACCCGAGACUCAGUGAAAUUGAACUCGCUGUGAAGAUGCAGUGUACCCGCGGCAAGACGGAAAGACCCCGUGAACCUUUACUAUAGCUUGACACUGAACAUUGAGCCUUGAUGUGUAGGAUAGGUGGGAGGCUUUGAAGUGUGGACGCCAGUCUGCAUGGAGCCGACCUUGAAAUACCACCCUUUAAUGUUUGAUGUUCUAACGUGGACCCGUGAUCCGGGUUGCGGACAGUGUCUGGUGGGUAGUUUGACUGGGGCGGUCUCCUCCUAAAGAGUAACGGAGGAGCACGAAGGUUGGCUAAUCCUGGUCGGACAUCAGGAGGUUAGUGCAAUGGCAUAAGCCAGCUUGACUGCGAGCGUGACGGCGCGAGCAGGUGCGAAAGCAGGUCAUAGUGAUCCGGUGGUUCUGAAUGGAAGGGCCAUCGCUCAACGGAUAAAAGGUACUCCGGGGAUAACAGGCUGAUACCGCCCAAGAGUUCAUAUCGACGGCGGUGUUUGGCACCUCGAUGUCGGCUCAUCACAUCCUGGGGCUGAAGUAGGUCCCAAGGGUAUGGCUGUUCGCCAUUUAAAGUGGUACGCGAGCUGGGUUUAGAACGUCGUGAGACAGUUCGGUCCCUAUCUGCCGUGGGCGCUGGAGAACUGAGGGGGGCUGCUCCUAGUACGAGAGGACCGGAGUGGACGCAUCACUGGUGUUCGGGUUGUCAUGCCAAUGGCACUGCCCGGUAGCUAAAUGCGGAAGAGAUAAGUGCUGAAAGCAUCUAAGCACGAAACUUGCCCCGAGAUGAGUUCUCCCUGACCCUUUAAGGGUCCUGAAGGAACGUUGAAGACGACGACGUUGAUAGGCCGGGUGUGUAAGCGCAGCGAUGCGUUGAGCUAACCGGUACUAAUGAACCGUGAGGCUUAACCUUACAACGCCGAAGCUGUU